AUUGAACGCUGGCGGAAUGCUUUACACAUGCAAGUCGAGCGGCAGCGCGGGGCAACCUGGCGGCGAGCGGCGAACGGGUGAGUAAUGCAUCGGAACGUGUCCAUGUCGUGGGGGAUAGCCCGGCGAAAGCCGGAUUAAUACCGCAUGUGCCCGAGAGGGGAAAGUGGGGGACCGCAAGGCCUCACGCGAUUGGGUCGGCCGAUGUCCGAUUAGCUAGUUGGCGGGGUAAAGGCCCACCAAGGCGAUGAUCGGUAGCUGGUCUGAGAGGAUGAUCAGCCAAACUGGGACUGAGACACGGCCCAGACUCCUACGGGAGGCAGCAGUGGGGAAUUUUGGACAAUGGGGGCAACCCUGAUCCAGCCAUUCCGCGUGAGUGAAGAAGGCCAUCGGGUUGUAAAGCUCUUUUGUCCGGAACGAAACGGGUAGCGUGAAUAUCGCUGCCUACUGACGGUACCGGAAGAAUAAGCACCGGCUAACUACGUGCCAGCCGCCGCCGUAA
rnacentral:rRNA from 1 species